rnacentral:rRNA from 1 species
GAUGAACGCUGGCGGCGUGCCUAAUACAUGCAAGUCGAGCGAAUGGAUUAAGAGCUUGCUCUUAUGAAGUUAGCGGCGGACGGGUGAGUAACACGUGGGUAACCUGCCCAUAAGACUGGGAUAACUCCGGGAAACCGGGGCUAAUACCGGAUAACGUUUUGAACCGCAUGGUUCGAAAUUGAAAGGCGGCUUCGGCUGUUACUUAUGGAUGGACGCGCGUCGCAUUAGCUAGUUGGUGAGGUAACGGCUCACCAAGGCAACGAUGCGUAGCCGACCUGAGAGGGUGAUCGGCCACACUGGGACUGAGACACGGCCCAGACUCCUACGGGAGGCAGCAGUAGGGAAUCUUCCGCAAUGGACGAAAGUCUGACGGAGCAACGCCGCGUGAGUGAUGAAGGCUUUCGGGUCGUAAAACUCUGUUGUUAGGGAAGAACAAGUGCUAGUUGAAUAAGCUGACACCUUGACGGUACCUAACCAGAAAGCCACGGCUAACUACGUGCCAGCCGCCGCCGUAA